rnacentral:rRNA from 1 species
UACGGAGGGUGCGAGCGUUGUCCGGAAUUACUGGGCGUAAAGCGUGCGUAGACGGUAGCGUAAGUCGGGUGUGAAAGCCCCGGGCUCAACCUGGGAAUUGCAUUCGAGACUGCUCUGCUAGGGUGCGGAAGAGGGAAGCGGAAUUUCCGGUGUAGCGGUGAAAUUCGUAGAUAUUCGGAAGAACACCAGUGGCGAAGGCGGCUCACUGGCCCGUUACUGACGCUCAGGCGCGACAGCGUGGGGAGCAAACAGG